CUUAUAAACUAUCACGACGCCCAAAAAGUCGUGGCUUGGGUUUUGCCAGCUGGCGUGAUCUCCUCUAUGAGUAAUCAUGUGAGGUGCCAGAUCUAUGGCGUUUCCCUAAUGUAUCCGGAUGCACCCUUGUCUUGGCAGAAAGCCGUGGUGAGGUGCAGUGGCGGAAUCGUGGUUUAAUAAUCGGGUUGGUACUCAGUUGUCAGUGUGUUYGGCGAUCCCCYAGUCGGCACACUYAUGAUUUCUGGGAUAAUUCCAUACCAGGCACGUUCCGUYACUGUYACUUUGUCAUUGGUUUGAUGCUGAACUUGGUCAUGUGUCUGAUGCUAUUUUCAUAUAGCGACGGUACCCUUCGUGGUCUGUCUU
rnacentral:misc_RNA from 1 species